rnacentral:rRNA from 1 species
GACGAACGCUGGCGGCGUGCUUAACACAUGCAAGUCGAACGGAAAGGCCCUGCUUUUGUGGGGUGCUCGAAUGGCGAACGGGUGAGUAACACGUGAGUAACCUGCCCUUGACUUUGGGAUAACUUCAGGAAACUGGGGCUAAUACCGGAUAGGAGCUCCUGCUGCAUGGUGGGGGUUGGAAAGUUUCGGCGGUUGGGGAUGGACUCGCGGCUUAUCAGCUUGUUGGUGGGGUAGUGGCUUACCAAGGCUUUGACGGGUAGCCGGCCUGAGAGGGUGACCGGCCACGUUGGGACUGAGGUACGGCCCAGACUCCUACGGGAGGCAGCAGUGGGGAAUAUUGCACAAUGGGCGGAAGCCUGAUGCAGCAACGCCGCGUGCGGGAUGACGGCCUUCGGGUUGUAAACCGCUUUCGCCUGUGACGAAGCGUGAGUGACGGUAAUGGGUAAAGAAGCACCGGCUAACUACGUG